rnacentral:rRNA from 1 species
AGUGAACGCUGGCGGUAGGCCUAACACAUGCAAGUCGAACGGCAGCACAGUAAGAGCUUGCUCUUACGGGUGGCGAGUGGCGGACGGGUGAGGAAUACAUCGGAAUCUACUUUUUCGUGGGGGAUAACGUAGGGAAACUUACGCUAAUACCGCAUACGACCUACGGGUGAAAGCAGGGGAUCUUCGGACCUUGCGCGAUUGAAUGAGCCGAUGUCGGAUUAGCUAGUUGGCGGGGUAAAGGCCCACCAAGGCGACGAUCCGUAGCUGGUCUGAGAGGAUGAUCAGCCCCACUGGCACUGAGCCACGGUCCAGACCACGACGGGAGGCAGCAGUGGGGAAUAUUGGACAAUGGGCGCAAGCCUGAUCCAGCCAUACCGCGUGGGUGAAGGAGGCCUUCGGGUUGUAAAGCCCUUUUGUUGGGAGAGAAAAGCAGCAGGUUAAUACCUCUCUGUUCUGACGGUACCCAAAGAAUAAGCACCGGCUAACUUCGUG